rnacentral:lncRNA from 1 species
AGGGCAUUUUCGAAAAUCCUGUUCCUUAGGUAAUUAAGCACAAGCCAUAGUCAAUGGAAGAAAAACAAAAAACAAAAAAACACACACACCACAUUACAGAACUCAGUGUAUUUUAUUAUUAUAGUUUGAAAAUCUCAAGACAUCUUCUAAUGAAUUUUGAUAUUCUCUCCAGUUCUCAUAAGUAAAUAAAAAAAAUACUGUUAUAACAUUGCAUGAGUUAAAUACUGUGUUUAAUGAGAGGUGGCAAAUACAACUGUUGAAUUUGCAACACUGUUUUAUAAAGUUAUUAUGCCUGUCCCACCUUAACCCAAAUUCUUCCUUUAACAUUACAAUGAACUCUUGUGUCUGAUGUGGCUUAAAAGAAUUAACCCUGCAAUAGCCAGAGUGGACAGAUCACCAGCAGCUAUAGAGAAGGAAAACUCGCUGUCACGUUUUGCUUCGUGGCUGGUGAAGAAUCAUGGGAGUUACUCCAAAUUCUAUUUUACAGAGAGCACAAUUCUUGGUCUGCUUCCUACUUGAUCAGUUACACUUUACACACACAAAAAAGGUUCAAAGGGGUUUCCUUGUACCGCCUACUUCUUUAACCCCACAAAAACUGCUACCCAGUCUCACCAUACUGGUCCCUCUUCCUGAUUUUCUGUUUUGGUAAUUUUAUAUGCACGCUCUUCCUCAGAUUUGCCCUGCUAUCUUUAGCUUUAUACAGCAAACUAUAUUGGUAAGCACUUGGAGCUAAAUCUAUGUGGGAGAGUAAAAAAAAGCUCUAAAAAUGAUCUUAAUCUUCCCUUGCCUUUCAGCGUGCAAAGUGUCCACUCCACCCAUUAUGGCCUGUUUUCAAUAUACUGAAUACUAUUUAACCUGUUACUGUGCCAUCAGCAUUACCCAGCUAGAUGUGCUCCGAGAACAUGCCACUCUCUACCCCAUCCCUUCUGGGUGUCUCAAACUCAAAGCUCCAAAAGAGAUACAAGUAAACAGGUUGAGUUUUAACUCUCAGUGGGUUAUCCUUACCACUAAAGUGCCAGGGGCGUUUGAUUUGCACUAUAUUUCUACUUAAUUCCUUCUGUGCCACAAGCAUGUGAUAUAUAUUUGACUUGGUUUUUAACCCUGUCAGUGAUAAAGAGGGGAGCUACAUAAUCACAAAGAAACCAGAUUGGCUUGCAGGGAAAAUAUAAUAGGGAGAAUCAUGGUUCCUGGUCUGUGAUCAGUACAUUGCCUAGGUUUUGGUAGUAAGGAAAAUACACCAUCUGCCUCCCCAUAAGUGUGUAAGGUGCACGUUCUUCUAAUGAGGAUCAUCAUCAGCCAGGCCACGCUGAAGUUGUACCUUCUUUCAUAGUUUCUACUUCAGCUGGAAUUUCCCCGAAUAUGUACCUUCCUGCAAAGAGGUUCUGUAUCAACUGAAGUUUCACUGAAGAUGUACAUCCUUGCAAGAUGUUAUACAUCAGCUGAGGAAACAAUGAAAGUGAAACUCCGCUAAGAUGUUCUGCAUCAGCUACGGUCCCACUGAAAGCAUACUUUCUUACAAAAGAGUUUCAUCAGCUGAGGUGUCCCUCUUUAAAAAAAAAAAAAAAAAAAAAAGAUUCUUAAUUUAGCUUGGGUCACACUGAAAAAAAAUGCCUUCUUGGAAAGAGGCUCUGCAUCAGCUGAUGUCCCACUGAAGAUAUACUUAGAAAUAAAUCCUUCAUUAGUUAGCUCUAACUGAAGGAGGACCUUCUUGUAAAGAGGUUCUUCAUCAGCUAAGGUCCCCUUCUUAAAAUAAAUCUUCAUUAGCUGGAGUUCCACUGAAGUACCUUCUUGUAAAGAGGUUCUGCGUCAGCUGAUUUCUUACUGAAGAUAUACUUCUUAGAAAGAAAUUCUUAAUUAGCUGGGUCAAACGGAUGCACUACCUACCUUCAUGCAAAGAGGUUCUCCAUCAGAUAUGGAUAAGUGAAGGUGCACAGGUGUACCUCCUUGCAAAGAGGUUCUGCAUCAGCUAAGGAUACAAGAAUGAAAAGUGCCUUCUUGCAAAUACAAAAACAAAUAAAGAAAAUAAAAUAAAAAUACUUCAGCUAUGUCUACAAAUUCUGGCCCUCUUCUGUCUUGGGACCUACACUUCCACAGGAUGGCUGAGCAUGACAGGAAGUGUCACCCUGUGAGUGACAGGCCCAAAAAUGUCAGAACAAGCUGUAGCAGAGAGGUUCUGCAGCAGCUGCAGCGUGUGAGACAGUUUGGUGACUCUCCUCUCCCUAUAGCAAGGGGGAAGGACAACCUUCAGCACUCCCCCACAGUGUGGACUACAUCUCCCAUAAUGCUCUUACAGCCAUAAACUGGCAAAGCAUCAUGGGAGGUGUAGUCCACAACAUCUGGCCUGCUGGAGGCCGCCUGUUCCUUGCUGCAGGGUACCACAGGAGUCUCCAGGGGCGACCUGUGGCCUCCCAGCGGUGCCAAGCUACCCUCUCCUAGCCUGCGGCUGGCUGAGGGUGAUUGGGUCCUGCCCUGAUGACGUCACACAGUGGGCCAUCACUGUCCUAGUAAGGGGGGAGGGCAAUAAUAAUAAUAAUAAUAAUUAAUUCGUUCCCUUGAUGGGGUCCCAGGUGGCGGGAACUCACCUCAUCCUCCCGUCCCGGAGAGCAACACCCCCUGACAGCACUACGUCAGCCCACAAUGCACCGCGCCCGCCGGGGUGACCAGCAUUACCUCAUCCC